CCUACGGGUGGCUGCAGUGGGGAAUAUUGCACAAUGGGGGAAACCCUGAUGCAGCGACGCCGCGUGAGUGAAGAAGUAUUUCGGUACGUAAAGCUCUAUCAGCAGGGAAGAAAAUGACGGUACCUGACUAAGAAGCCCCGGCUAACUACGUGCCAGCAGCCGCGGUAAUACGUAGGGGGCAAGCGUUAUCCGGAUUUACUGGGUGUAAAGGGAGCGUAGACGGCAGCGCAAGUCUGGAGUGAAAUCCCAUGGCUUAACCAUGGAACUGCUUUGGAAACUGGGGAUCUAGAGUGUGCGAGAGGUAUGCGGAAUGCGUGGUGUAGCGGUGAAAUGCAUAGAUAUCACGCAGAACCCCGAUUGCGAAGGCAGCAUACCGGUGCACAACUGACGCUCAGGCACGAAAGCGUGGGUAUCGAACAGGAUUAGAUACCCCGGUAGUC
rnacentral:rRNA from 1 species